AGAGUUUGAUCAUGGCUCAGGACGAACGCUGGCGGCGUGCUUAACACAUGCAAGUGGUGCGACGAACCAGGGCUUGCCCUGGGGCAAAGCCGCGAACGGGUGAGUAACACGUGAGUAAUCUGCCCCGAUGACUGGGACAACCCGAGGAAACUCGGGCUAAUACCGGAUGAUGAGCCAAGGUUUAAGCCUUGUCUCUAAAGGAAGCUUCGGCCUCCGCAUUGGGAGGAGCUCGCGGCCCAUUAGCUUGUUGGUGAGGUAACGGCUCACCAAGGCGACGAUGGGUAGCUGGUCUGAGAGGACGAUCAGCCACACUGGGACUGAGACACGGCCCAGACUCCUACGGGAGGCAGCAGUGGGGAAUCUUGCGCAAUGCGCGAAAGCGUGACGCAGCAACGCCGCGUGGGGGAAGACGGCCUUAGGGUUGUAAACCCCUUUCAGGAGGGACGAAGGUUCACCGGUGAAUAGCCGUGUGGAUUGACGGUACCUCCACAAGAAGCACCGGCUAACUACGUGCCAGCAGCCGCGGUAAUACGUAGGGUGCAAGCGUUGUCCGGAAUCAUUGGGCGUAAAGCGCGCGUAGGUGGUCAUGUAAGUCCGCUGUGAAAGUCAAAGGCUCAACCUUUGAAAGCCGGUGGAUACUGCAUGACUAGAGUACGGAAGAGGCGAGUGGAAUUCCUGGUGUAGCGGUGGAAUGCGCAGAUAUCAGGAGGAACACCAAUAGCGAAGGCAGCUCGCUGGGACGUUACUGACACUGAGGCGCGAAAGCGUGGGGAGCGAACAGGAUUAGAUACCCUAGUAGUCC
rnacentral:rRNA from 1 species